ncrna:Schistosoma mansoni type-P1 twister ribozyme
UCUGUAACUCCGCCUGUGGCUCCUCCAGGGGCUACUGCCGGUCACAAGCCCGGGUAAAGGAGGAGGGUUAGG